CCGCUAGAUGGAGAUACAGUUAGGAGUAAGACAGCUUAAGGCACGGCAAUUUUUUAUUUAUUACUAAAAUUAUGGCUUUUUAUAAUACAAAGGAAAGUACUAAAGAAUAUAAUAAUUUCUUAGCAGCUUUUCAAGAAUUAAAGUUUUCUAAGUUAGAUCAAGAUCUAUUUAGAGUUUUAAACGUUGAACGUCGUUGUCUUGGUGUGAAAUAUUUAGCAGCAAAAAGAUCAGGCUUUGAGGAUGCAGCGAUGUGUUUGCUAGAAAAAGGCUUAAAAGAAUUUCAAUAUCAAAUAGAAAAGAGCGGAGUUUAUUGGAAUUCGAUUGAAAAUAACAUUGUUGAAACUGUUAAUGAUCCUUCACAAUGGAAAUCAGAAUUAAACGAUGUACAAACAGCAAUUGAUUUCAUAGAAUGUUUACCAUGUCAAGAUGAAAAUACUGCAGCAUGCAAAGAAAAGGUAAUUAAUGAUGGACAUAUUAAAGAUAUUGUUGAUAUGUGGAAGACACAAGAUACAAGAAAGAGGAAAUGUAAUAUACAAAGACGCCCUCAAUUUGAAACAAUUAAAACAAAUGAUAAUAAAAUAUCUCAUGCUAAUAAAAGUUCCAUAAGUAACGAAAUGAAAUUCAUAGAAUGUAAUAAAAAGGAAUUACCAAGCUUAAGAAAUGGGGUUUCUUUAUUCAAAACUGCCAGAGAUGAAUUAAAUAUUCAACAAAAUUCAAAGAAUAGGCCAGCACAAAAGAAGACAUUAGGUGGUAAAUCUUCAGUUAAAUCUCCAUUUGUAUGUCCUUUAAAACGUGAGGAAGAUAAAGUAAUGCAGUAUCAAAACAGUAAAAAAGAAAAUGAAGGUGUUUCAGCAGAUGUAGAAGAUGAAAGGAUGAAAAACAUUGAUCCGAAGUUGAUAGAGUUAAUAAAAAAUGAAAUCAUGGACUUACGAACAUCAGUUUCUUGGGAUGACAUAGCAGGACUUGAAUAUGCUAAGAAAAUUAUUCAAGAAGUCAUUGUAUUUCCUAUGUUGAGGCCUGACAUUUUCACCGGCCUACGUAGGCCACCAAGAGGAAUUUUAUUAUUUGGACCUCCUGGUACAGGGAAAACAUUGAUUGGAAGAUGUAUCGCAGUGCAGAGUAAAUCAACAUUUUUUUCUAUAUCAGCAAGUUCCUUGACUUCAAAGUGGAUAGGGGAAGGAGAAAAAAUGGUUAGAGCAUUAUUUGCUGUUGCUAGAGUCAAUCAACCGUCAGUUGUUUUUAUAGAUGAAAUAGACUCUUUGCUUUCUCAAAGAUCAGAAACCGAGCAUGAAAGUUCGAGAAGACUUAAAACUGAAUUUUUAGUACAACUGGAUGGGGCAGCAACUUCAGAAGAUGAUCGCAUUUUAAUCGUAGGUGCAACAAAUAGACCACAAGAAUUAGAUGAAGCAGCGCGUCGUCGUCUUGUUAAAAGGCUCUAUAUUCCAUUACCAGAGUUGCAAGCACGAAAACAAAUUAUAUGCAAUUUAUUAUCAUCGGUAAAACACAAUGUCACAGAACAAGAUAUUACUGAUAUCGCUCAACAAGCAGAAGGUUAUUCAGGUGCUGAUAUGAAAACUUUAUGUACGGAAGCUAGUAUGGGACCAAUCAGAUGUAUUCCAUAUAAUGUGUUACAAGAGAUACCAUCCGAUGAGAUAACACCAGUUACACUUCAGGAUUUUAAAGAAGCUUUACAAAAUGUACGUCCUAGUGUUUCUCAAUCAGAUUUAGCCAUCUAUGUUAAUUGGGAUCGCACAUAUGGUACUGGUUCCCUACAGAACGUUAACAUCGCAAAGAUUCCACGAAAAGAGUUAUCGAGAGGAGAAACCCUCUACCAUACGUAGCAGUGAUCGUAAAACGUUAAUGGGUCGGCCACAUGAUUUUACGAUGUUUCAUAGAAGAUGUAAAAAAAGCUUAUGGAUAAAUCCUGAAUGUUCGCGGGCCUUGAGAGCUGUCCGACUUAAAACGAACAGAAUCAUCAUUCGAUUCGUUCUUUCGUUUAUGUGAAAUUUAUACUUGAUUAAUGCUUUCUCAGGUUAAAGGCAAAUAACGGAUUUUAGUUUUUCAACAUAAAAAGGAAGAGUCUCGAAGAACAUCUGGCAGAGGUCGCGUCGAUAGUAUAUCGAUACUGUGACUAUUUGAAAAAGAUCUUUUCAUUCUUUUUCUAUGCUUUAUUUCAAAUUAAUAGUAGACUUUUACUUUUAAUAAUUCUCCAGUACAUUUCAUUAAAAUAUUAUCAACGUUUUAAUACUUAACGAAGCAGUAGACUCUCCGAAUGUUUAUAAGGAUAAGAAAAAGGUCUUUUGUCUACUUCGUAAAAAAGUUCUAGCAUCGUCGAGGCA
rnacentral:misc_RNA from 1 species